rnacentral:rRNA from 1 species
UACGUAGGAUCCGAGCGUUGUCCGGAUUUACUGGGUGUAAAGGGUGCGCAGGCGGCCUGGUAAGUCAGUGGUGAAAUCUCGUCGCUUAACGACGAAACUGCCUUUGAUACUAUCAGUCUUGAAUCCUGUAGAGAUCUGUGGAAUUCCGAGUGUAGCAGUGAAAUGUGUAGAUAUUCGGAAGAACACCAGUGGCGAAGGCGACUUACUGGACGAUUGUUGACGCUGAGGUGCGAAAGCGUGGGGAGCAAACAGG